rnacentral:rRNA from 1 species
CGCUUAACACAUGCAAGUCGAACGCAGUAGCAAUACUGAGUGGCAGACGGGUGAGUAUAAUGUGGGAAUCUGCCUUUUGGUUCGGAAUAACUCGGGGAAACUUGAGCUAAUACCGGAUAAGCCCUUACGGGGAAAGAUUUAUCGCCGAAAGAUGAGCCCGCACUUGAUUAGCUUGUUGGUGAGGUAAUAGCUCACCAAGGCAACAAUCAAUAGCUGUUCUUAGAGGAAGACCAGCCACAUUGGGACUGAGACACGGCCCAGACUCCUACGGGAGGCAGCAGUGGGGAAUCUUGCACAAUGGGGGAAACCCUGAUGCAGCGAUGCCGCGUGAGUGAAGAAGGCCUUUGGGUUGUAAAACUCUUUCGUCGGGGAAGAAAAUGACUGUACCCGAAUAAGAAGGUCCGGCUAACUUCGUGCCAGCAGCCGCGGUAAUACGAAGGGACCUAGCGUAGUUCGGAAUUACUGGGCUUAAAGAGCUCGUAGGUGGUUAAAAAAGUUGGUGGUGAAAUCCCAAGGCUUAACCUUGGAACUGCCAUCAAAACUUUUUAGCUAGAGUGUGAUAGAGGAAAGUGGAAUUUCUAGUGUAGAGGUGAAAUUCGUAGAUAUUAGAAAGAACACCAAAAGCGAAGGCAACUUUCUGGAUCACUACUGACACUGAGGAGCGAAAGCAUGGGUAGCGAAGAGGAUUAGAUACCCUCGUAGUCCAUGCUGUAAACGAUGUGUGCUAGACGUUGGAAAUUUUAUUUUCAGUGUCGCAGCAAAAGCGUUAAGCACACCGCCUGGGGAGUACGACCGC